rnacentral:lncRNA from 12 species
CACUGUGUGUCAUCGAGACGUCCUCUGAGUAAACCGUUGGAAGGCACUGUCUUUGAGAAAUGGCCUUCUUCUGAGCUGUCUCCCGCAUUUCUCUCUGUCUCGGUGUGGCUGAGUGACAUGCCGUGGAGGAUGCACACGGAGCCGCCACACUGUGCCCCUGGCAUGGGUUAGCUCGCCAGGGAUGCCAGCUGUCCCCCGGCAGGCACCAGGGCCGGGACCGGGGCAGUAGCGUGUCCUGAUUUGUGCUCAUAGCCACUUGGAUGCGAGGACACGAGCUCCGGGGGUGCAGCGCCUGUGGGCUGAGACCCGCCGAGCCCCAGGGCCUGCAGGUGCAAGGUGCGCCCGUGUCCCGGCUGGGGUGGGGAGGUGAGCCCUGCGGGCGCGGGCCCGCGUCCUUCCCUUGACAAAUGCCUGCGUCCAUCUGCGUGUCCAGGAGAGCGUGGCGGCCCACGAGUCCCCAGCGAGGAGCAAAGACGACCGCUGGCGACCGGCCGGGCUGCGGGGUGACCCCGGGGCCGAGCCGCCGCCCGCCAGGCCCCGUGAGAAGGCCUUGGACUGGCCGCUCGAGCCCGCCAGGCCCGUCCACACCGGCGCCCUGGAGCGAGCUCUGGUUUGUCGUCGCGGUGGCGGGAUGACAUAUGGGGCCCGGCCCGCAAGCGCAGGGAGCUGAGGACAAGGACCCUCGCGGGCUUUCCUGCACGAGGGCUGCAGGCCCGGAGACCUGCCGGGCCCUGUGUGCUCGCCACGGGCGCCCCCUGCGCGGCGAAGCUGAUGCUCCGUGUCCAGAGCCACCAAGGGGGUCAGCAGCGGCGGGUCGCGUGUGCCCCGACUGACCCUCCGCCGUGUGUGUCGCCAGCGAGGCCUGCAGCUGCCAGUCCUCAGGCCUCCUCCUCUGCUCCCUUCCUAGUUUGCUUGAGGGGUCGUCUUGCCACCGGCUCCUCACCCCAUAGCCAGGGGCCUGUCAAUCCUCGUCCACAUCGGAAUCACAGGGAGUUCCCAGACCCCUGAGUCCAGACCCUGCUUCCAGACGCGGAUUUAAAUGACCUCGUGGUAACCACAAGAUCCUAGGAAUAAACCUCGCCAAAGAGGCGGAGGAUCCCUACUC